GUAAUUGUCUUAUACCUAAUUUUUAAACUUAAUAACCAAAAGAACUAAAUUAAAGAUUUAAAACAAUUAAUCCUAAUUAGAGAUUAAAUUGAAUCUUAAUUUUAUUUAGUUUCCUAUGAAAACAAAUUAUAGCAGUCAGACAAGCUUUAGGAAUUGGUUUGACAUUGAAACUAGGCUAAAGAUAAAACAUGAAAUUCAGAUGUAUUUUGACAGAUGAAGUUUAAAUGUAUUUUAACACAAAUAUUAUCUCUUUGAGACUACCAAGUAAGUUCUGAGAGCAGGGCACUUAAAAUUUUUUUCUAGUUCAUUUACAUUGAGUUAUGCUCCUGGGAAGAUAAUGUUUGUGGUACCUCAACAAUUUUAGGUUUGCUUAUUUUUAGCUAUGAUACCUCUGUUUUUUAGACUGAAGUUGAAUUUGUGCAAUCUUUGUUUAAUUCAGUGUUGUUUGUUCAUGUUAUGUAUAACUAAAUUGAAUUGCAAGCAGAAAUCCAUUUUUUAACCUGUUUUA
rnacentral:lncRNA from 1 species